rnacentral:rRNA from 1 species
ACCCAAUGUGAACGUUACCAAACUGUUGCCUCGGCGGGAUCUCUGCCCCGGGUGCGUCGCAGCCCCGGACCAAGGCGCCCGCCGGAGGACCAACCAAAACUCUUUUUGUAUACCCCCUCGCGGGUUUUUUAUAAUCUGAGCCUUCUCGGCGCCUCUCGUAGGCGUUUCGAAAAUGAAUCAAAACUUUCAACAACGGAUCUCUUGGUUCUGGCAUCGAUGAAGAACGCAGCGAAAUGCGAUAAGUAAUGUGAAUUGCAGAAUUCAGUGAAUCAUCGAAUCUUUGAACGCACAUUGCGCCCGCCAGUAUUCUGGCGGGCAUGCCUGUCCGAGCGUCAUUUCAACCCUCGAACCCCUCCGGGGGGUCGGCGUUGGGGAUCGGCCCUGCCUCUUGGCGGUGGCCGUCUCCGAAAUACAGUGGCGGUCUCGCCGCAGCCUCUCCUGCGCAGUAGUUUGCACACUCGCAUCGGGAGCGCGGCGCGUCCACAGCCGUUAAACACCCAACUUCUGAAAUGUUGACCUCGGAUCAGGUAGGAAUACCCGCUGAACUUAAGCAUAUCA